rnacentral:rRNA from 1 species
GGUUAAGCGACUAAGCGUACACGGUGGAUGCCCUGGCAGUCAGAGGCGAUGAAGGACGUGCUAAUCUGCGAUAAGCGCCGGUAAGGUGAUAUGAACCGUUAUAACCGGCGAUUUCCGAAUGGGGAAACCCAGUGUGAUUCGUCACACUAUCAUUAACUGAAUCCAUAGGUUAAUGAGGCGAACCGGGGGAACUGAAACAUCUAAGUACCCCGAGGAAAAGAAAUCAACCGAGAUUCCCCCAGUAGCGGCGAGCGAACGGGGAGGAGCCCAGAGCCUGAAUCAGCAUGUGUGUUAGUGGAAGCGUCUGGAAAGGCGCGCGAUACAGGGUGACAGCCCCGUACACAAAAGCGCAUGUGCUGUGAGCUCGAUGAGUAGGGCGGGACACGUGGUAUCCUGUCUGAAUAUGGGGGGACCAUCCUCCAAGGCUAAAUACUCCUGACUGACCGAUAGUGAACCAGUACCGUGAGGGAAAGGCGAAAAGAACCCCGGCGAGGGGAGUGAAAAAGAACCUGAAACCGUGUACGUACAAGCAGUGGGAGCACAGGUUUACCUGUGUGACUGCGUACCUUUUGUAUAAUGGGUCAGCGACUUAUAUUCUGUAGCAAGGUUAACCGAAUAGGGG